rnacentral:ribozyme from 1 species
UAGUUUGUUUUUCUCUUUUCUCUUUUCUCUUUCUUCUUUCUUCUUCUUUCUCAAGAACUUGCGAGCAGCGAACCUUGAGCUUGAGUACAAAAUCAGGGAG